rnacentral:rRNA from 1 species
UUUAUAAAAGUUGUUUUUUGUUAAGUAAUAUUUUGAAAAACUUAAAUUAAUUAUUGUAUUGAAAAAGAAUUUUAUUUAAUUGUAAAUAAGAAUAUUUAAUUAUUAGUAUCUUUUGUAUCAGAGUUUAUUAAAAUUAAAUUAAAUAUUUAUUAAUUUCAAAUUUUUAAGAUUUAUUAGAUUAUUUUUGUUAUUGUUUUAUAAAUAUAAAAAAUUUUUUAAUUGAAAUUAAAAGUUAAUCGUUUAAAAAUAUAUUUAAUUAUUUUAGAAAUUAAUUUAGUUAAGAAUUAAUUAUUUAAUUAAAAUAAUUGUUAUUUUAGUUUAUUUUUAAUUUUAGAUUAAUGGGGAUAAGCUUGUUAAUUUGAUAUGAUUAAUAAUAAUUUAUUUUAAUUAGUAAGGUUAUUAUUUCCUACCUUUUAUUUUAUUGUAAAUAAUUAAAAUUUUAUAUAUAAAUUUUUUAAAUUAUCUAUUUUUUCUAUAAAAUUAAUUAUUAUAAUUUAUUAAAUAAUAAAAUAAUGAUAAAAUUAGUAAAUUAAUAUUUGUUUUUAAUUUUAUUUUAUUAAUAAAUUAAAUGAACUAGGCAAAAGUAUUUUUACCUGUUUAUUAAAAACAUGUCUAUUUGAAUAAAAUAAAUAGUCUGAUCUGCCCAUUGAUUAAUUUUAAAGGCUGCAGAAUUUUAACUGUACAAAGGUAGCAUAAUAAUUUGAUUUUUAAUUGGAAUCUUGUAUGAAUGAUAUGAUAAAAAAUGCUCUUUAUUUAAUUUAAAUAUUUUAAUUUUUU